rnacentral:lncRNA from 1 species
GAUUCUGACUGCAGCAGCCUAAAAUUAUAGAUCUCAUCCUUCAGUUGCAACAUCCUAGAUGAAGGAAAGAUCCUGUUCAAGAAUUUCCUACACAACUCGGUAAAAUAUCUCCAAUAAUCUCAUCCCUGACAAUCGAUGAUUGGGCACCAUACUCAGCUUCUUCUUGAACCUGAACCAUGCUUCGUACAUAGAUUCUAACUAUAGCUACCUAAAAUUA